rnacentral:lncRNA from 1 species
UUUUACAGGCUUAUAUAGCUGUCAUCUCCUGGAUCGCAGGCCAGUAGUCACUCCACCGCUGUACAAACGACAUAGAAGAACUUCGGUACGGCUGGAACGGAAACUGUACUGGCUUCGCUUUACUUUUGCUAUGCCUCUGUAUCAGUGCCCGUUCGAGUUGAUACCGUUAGCGACAGAGAGCGAUUUUAGAAAACAGAGCCUCGUCGCCUUUUGCAGGAGCGCUUCCUGUCUAAUAACCUGCCGAGUUCACAAAAAUAGCAUCCAAGAAAGGUAACAUCCACAACAAAUUCUCCUGUAACUCUUCCUUCCCUGCGGAAGGCAAGGAUAUAGGUGUCCCCAUAGCUUUAAUGAGCUGUCACAGACCGUUGUUGCUUCCACCACAAUGCCCUGGAUGGCUUUUAAAUUUUGGAUGUUUUGGUUACCUUUUCCUUGACAGGAUGGACGGCCCAAACAGACCGCAGGAGCCCAGAGCGGCAAAAGCCAGCAGCGCCCAGGGCGUGCAGAAUGUGGUGGACCUCAGCGACGUGAACAUUGCCGCGGUUGUAAUGGUGCUGCUGCUGUUGGGACUGAUGAGGGCGGCCAUGACCCCAUGCGUCUGCCUGUAGAGGUAGCUUCGGCUCGUCUAUUGGUACACUCGACGAGGCGUAAUGUCGUCAGCCUAUGUCGUCAGCCUUUGCGGACAUAACAGUGGCUGUUGUGCCGGUGUACGUUACGCUGUAUAGUCUGCUGUAUGGAUAUCGGCCGUCGGAAGGACGGCCCGUCUUAACUAGGACCUUGAAGUGCUCGUUAUUCACUCUUUAAUGUAUUCUGUGUGAUUCUUGUAUCAUAGUAAUUAUGAAGUGGUCGUGAGCAAUGGGUUCGCCGGUUAUCUGUUGCUUAGCCCUGCUUAGGCCUGCUUAGCCCUUUCUGGCAACUUGGUGUGAUUUAUCCGCGUUCCAUCCUUAGCUUUGCUACCAACCACGUGAAACAUAAACGGUUAUACGUAUAUCCAUGAUGUAUGGGGCGUACUUGUCAUGGGUUAAUUUGGGUUACAGGUCAUUGACCAUUGUAACAGAAGGCAAGUCACUGCAGCCUUUGUAAGCACAGGGGAGAGCACCCACCUUGCCAUGUUCAACCUGGACCUGUGCGGGGGAACUGCACAGAGUGCACGUGGGGAGGCUCUGGUGGU